rnacentral:rRNA from 1 species
AUGAGUAGGAAGAGCGAAAGAAACACAAACAACUCAGCAUCUAGACCUACAUCCAGAGGCUAUCACAAAAGCAUACUGUUCUGUGGCAACGAAACAUUCAACAGCCACACAGAUAUCAUAACCAAACACCACACAUCAACGUCAAACUGCCAUUAUUCGUUUCAUCACCAGCGCCCAGCCAUGACACCUGGGGUAAACUUCAGCCAUCACCAUCUUCAAAUGCUGCACUCCUUCAAUUCUUCUUUGGCCUUGGGAUUUCUGCAGUAA